AGCGAACGCUGGCGGCAGGCUUAACACAUGCAAGUCGAGCGCCUGUAGCAAUACAGGAGCGGCAGACGGGAGAGUAACACGUGGGAACGUACCUUUUGGUUCGGAACAACUGAGGGAAACGUUACNGCCAAUACCGGAUAAGCCCUUACGGGGAAAGAUUUAUCGCCAAGAGAUCGGCCCGCGUCUGAUUAGCUAGUUGGUGAGGUAACGGCUCACCAAGGCGACGAUCAGUAG
rnacentral:rRNA from 1 species